rnacentral:rRNA from 1 species
UUCUCCUGGAAAACGGGUGGUAAUGCCGGAUGCUCCGACUCCUCGCAUGGGGUGUCGGGAAAGAUUUCAUCGGUAUGGGAUGGGGUCGCGUCCUAUCAGGUAGUCGGCGGGGUAACGGCCCACCGAGCCUACGACGGGUAGCCGGCCUGAGAGGGCGACCGGCCACAUUGGGACUGAGAUACGGCCCAGACUCCUACGGGAGGCAGCAGUGGGGAAUAUUGCACAAUGGGCGCAAGCCUGAUGCAGCGACGCCGCGUGCGGGAUGACGGCCUUCGGGUUGUAAACCGCUUUUGAUCGGGAGCAAGCCUUCGGGUGAGUGUACCUUUCGAAUAAGCACCGGCUAACUACGUGCCAGCAGCCGCGGUAAUACGUAGGGUGCAAGCGUUAUCCGGAAUUAUUGGGCGUAAAGGGCUCGUAGGCGGUUCGUCGCGUCCGGUGUGAAAGUCCAUCGCUUAACGGUGGAUCUGCGCCGGGUACGGGCGGGCUGGAGUGCGGUAGGGGAGACUGGAAUUCCCGGUGUAACGGUGGAAUGUGUAGAUAUCGGAAAAGAACACC